rnacentral:siRNA from 1 species
UCUGUAGUGUUGGAACUAUGG